AUACGGAGGGUGCAAGCGUUAAUCGGAAUCACUGGGCGUAAAGCGCUCGUAGGUGGCUUUGUAAGUCAGGUGUGAAAGCCCUCGGCUCAACCGAGGAACUGCGUUCGAAACUGGGAGGCUUGAGUCCUGGAGAGGGUGGCGGAAUUCCGGGUGUAGGAGUGAAAUCCGUAGAUAUCCGGAGGAACACCGGUGGCGAAGGCGGCCACCUGGACAGGUACUGACGCUGAGGCGCGAAAGCGUGGGGAGC
rnacentral:rRNA from 1 species